rnacentral:tRNA from 1 species
CCUUAGCUCAGUCGGUAGAGCAACUGACUUUUAAUCAGUAGGUCGCUGGUUCGAACCCAGCAG